rnacentral:sRNA from 1 species
CCGGCCGGGACUUCGUGCAGUUCGUGCACA